GAAUUUUUUUCUUAGUCAAUUUUUUUUAAGUUUGACAAGUUAAUAGAAAAAUGUAGCAAUAUUUUCAACACAAAACAAACAUAUUGUCAAAAUAUAUUCAAUGUUACAUUUAAUGAAACUUGUUUGGUAUAGUAGAUGUUGCUAAAUUUUUCUAUAAGUUUGGUCAAACCUAAACAAGUUUGACUAGGAAAAAAUUCAA
rfam:Oryza sativa (indica cultivar-group) chromosome 11, whole genome shotgun sequence.